rnacentral:rRNA from 1 species
CAAGUAUCGAUAAUAGGUAACUNACCCNGAAUACAUAGGGGNAAAGNGGCGAACGCGGGGAACUGAAACAUCUAAGUACCCGUAGAAAGGACAUCAACCGAGACUCCGGAAG